rnacentral:lncRNA from 1 species
GUUCACCUUAUUAUAUAAUUGUCCUAAUGAGCCUACUCCCUUCAUUGUCUCUCUCAACCCCCCUCUCAAAGACUCAUACUCCAAACCCUAGCACAACCCUGAAAUUUCCCUCCCUUCCGAUGGUGGCGCCUGUCCCAAUCCACCCUGAAUCAAUACCAUGCAACCUCCAAGACCCCUUCAUUCCAAAUCCCCACUUAAUUUCCUUAGAAUCUUCCUAGAAGCCCUCAAAUCUUAGAUCUGAAUUCGAGCCCUAAAAGUUCAAAAUCAGUUAUGGUCAAAUCUGAUAGCAUGCAUCGACCCAGAAUUUCUCUUCUCAUGUUUGAAGGCUGACCACUACAAAACUGAUGCCAUUCAUUCUUUCUUGAAAGAGAAAAACGACUGGUAUCAUUUUUGUGUGAAUCAAGAUAUCAAGUAUCAUUUCGAGCUUGGCCAGUGAGUUUCAUUGCAUUUUUGGGUCCGUUUCUAGUUUUAUUUUCACUUGUUGUCCUUCUUCUUUCUUUUCUUUUUCAUUAUUUGAAAUUUAACCAAAGUUUUGGCCGAGUGCGAGAUUUGUCCGUUUGGUUUUUGCUGGUUUUUUGUUUCCAAAUCUGUUCUCCGAUCCUACUAGAUUUGUUUAAUUUUCUUUUGAUUAAAUAGCAUAGUUAAUGUUCUAAUUAGUCACCUAGUCAAUUUAAGUAGGUCUAUUGUGAUAACUUGGUUAAUUUCUUGCUCAUUUGUCUGUAGUAAUAAGCUGAUUAGUAUAGGCUUAAUUCUCGAAAGUUUUCAAGUAUUUGCCAUUUGUUAGUUGAUUGAUUUGAUUCAGCCUGUCUUGUGUUUUGACUUUGAAGCCAUUACAGACCUCACCCCAAUGGGGGUUUGGGUUGGGUCAUUGGGUCAGAAUUGAGCCCACAUUUGGUUUCAUUAUCGGGUCCACUUGACCCAUUAUUUUCUGAAAUAAAAAUAGGUUGGUUAAGGGGUAAUUUGGGAAUUGUAGUUGGGGAAUCUUCGAAAACUGAUUGAGGAAGCUGGGGUGGGGACUAUUUUGAAGUUCUGAAAUCUAAAGUAGGAUUUUUUGAGCAAAAAUGAAAAUAUAAAAAGGAUAUAAGUGCAAAUUAGUUCCCUUAGGCAUCCCUAAUGCCUUGCCUAUAAAAGGCACUAUUACUUGGGUUAAAAGUCAGAAAUAUUGAAGAAAAAACUCUGUAAAACUGAGACGACUGAAAAAUUUAGAUAACACUGAUUUCCCUGCAUUUUCUUUGUCAAAAUUGCCCAAAACACUAUAUUUAGUUCUGAGUUUCUGAUCCUCUUCACUAGAUAUAAUUCCCUGAAAAGUUUAGAUUCUUCAUUUGGUUGAGAGAUGGCUUGAUUUUGCGACUUUAAGCUGGGGUUGCAGUUGAUAUUUCGAAACACUGCUUCAUUGCUGGGUUUCAUCCUUAUUUUGCUGGUUGAUUUUCAAGUGGUUUUUAUUGUUGUUUCUUCCUUAUUUGAGAUUGCUACUGCUGCUAUUACUGAUCAAUUCUAUCUCAUUGGUUUUACCAUUGUUACCAGGUAUUACUCACCACUUACCUAUUUGAUAUGAGAAAUGGAAGAAUGCAAGCUACUUGAAUUGAGCUGUAGUUUAUGCUUACUAAAGCUUUGCCUAUUAGAUCGUUGAAAGUCAUUAUAUUCUAAUUAGUUUAGUUACUUGUUAAUAUGCUUGAAUCUUUCUUGCUUCAGUUUUGAUUUUAAUCUGUAAUGAUGUUUAAUAAAGGCCUUAGUCAAUUAGUCUAGAUAAGAUUGAAGUUGGUUGUUUGUAUGAAUGGACAUUUAAAGGACUACAUCAAAGGAUAAGAGUUGUUUGAUUGUAUUGAAUUCAAUGAUGUUAAUUUUGUUUAAAUCUCCUAAAAAUGUCGAGCAUUGAGUAGAAAGUCAAAAUUAUGGGUAGUUAUACAUAUCAGUAUUUGUGACAUGAAAUUAUUCCUUUAUUGAAUUAUUUAGUUGACUCAUUGGUAUUUACCAUUUGGACUGACUUAUAGAAAUGAGUCAGUCAAUUUGUAAAGGUGGAACCAUUGGGCUGGUCUCCUGAGCCUAAUAACUCAAGGGGCCAUUGUUGGACUUUUCACAUAGCGGAUUUGAUUCAAAAUGCAUGCUAAAAUAGAAUUAGAACUUUAGUUUAGUUAAUUUGUGUCAAAUGUUUUAAAUCAUAGUUUAAACCUGUCAAUUGAAUAUCAUGCUUCUGUGUUAAUGUCAAUUGUGUUUGCAUAAUUGGGAUUGGGUGUGAACUAUUUGGAUCACAAGAAUUGGGCCAAAUGUUGGCCUAUGCUGAGUAACAAUCGAAGUCAAUUACACCACUCAUGAGACUUGUUUGUUUCAUCAAUAUGGGCCCACUUGAGCCCAAGGCUGGAGGCUUUUGAUGAAUGGACCAUUUGCUUUGCUUUAUCAUAUAUGACCCAUUUCUUUUCAAUAUGGUUAUCUCUUUCGAAGUUUGCUGUUGGCCCGAGUUUUAUUCGAAGCAUUUGGGUAGUUCUGCAAUUGCAAUUAGCCGAUUUAUAAUCGAAUUGAGGCAUUUGCUUUUAAAUAAAUUCGAAAUUCCCGUUAGUUUUUUUAAUUAAUUAGACCUGUAAGUUAGUGGAGAUGAGCCAUACUAGAUAACACAAAUAGCUUAUGGCCCACCAAAGUUUAGUAGAAUCCCUUUAAAAAUUGGAAUCAAGGUGUGUUGUGCCAAAUAAAAUCUCAAAAUGCAUGGCCCUCAUUCUAUUAAUAUUUUAAUCCUUAGAAUUCGAGGCGUUCCAUUUAGCGAAUAUUUCAUGGCCCGCACAAAGUUGAAAGUGCGUAGUUGCUUUAG